rnacentral:rRNA from 1 species
AGGGCACCACCAGGAGUGGAGCCUGCGGCUUAAUUUGACUCAACACGGGAAAACUCACCCGGCCCGGACACUGGAAGGAUUGACAGAUUGAGAGCUCUUUCUUGAUUCAGUGGGUGGUGGUGCAUGGCCGUUCUUAGUUGGUGGAGCGAUUUGUCUGGUUAAUUCCGAUAACAAACGAGACUCUAGCCUACUAGAUAGAUCGCCGGUUUACAAACAUUGGUGAGACUUCUUAGAGGGACAGGCGGCGAUUCAGCCGCACGAAACAGAGCAAUAACAGGUCUGUGAUGCCCUUAGAUGUCCGGGGCCGCACGCGCGCUACACUGAAGUGAUCAGCGUGCUUUUUAAGCCUACUCUGCCAAGAGUGGGAAACCCAAUGAACCUUCUUCGUGAUUGGGAUAGGAGAUUGUAAUUAUUCUCCUUGAACGAGGAAUUCCCAGUAAGCGCGAGUCAUAAGCUCGCGUUGAUUACGUCCCUGCCCUUUGUACACACCGCCCGUCGCUACUACCGAUUGAAUGUUUU